GUUUCUCUCCACCCAUCCAUUCAAUACACCGUAUGCACCCACCCCACCUGCGUUUUAAGUCAGUAACAAGCCACGUGCCAGCAAGACUGGGCAGGGAGAAAGUGGGUCACAGGCCAAAUCCUGUUUCCACUCUGAACCUUUCCGUCCUGCUCCUGAGGCUUGGCACGUGGGCUGUUGUUUGAGGUGUUCUGUUAGGACGGGUGUGAACAAACGCUGGUGGUUGGCUCAGGUUAGGACCUAUGAGAGUUGAGGGCGUCGAGGAACAGUCAGGCCAGGGCUUGGGAAGGGUGUGGGGGCCGGAGUGAGACAGGUGCUGAUGUCUUGGGGAAGCUGUGGGUGCCUGGCUAAUGAGUACGUACCUGCUUGUGUGACCAACUGGCCUAGUUUGCCUGGAAUUGAGAGCUUUCUCAGACAUGGGACUUUUAUUGCCAAAACCAGGAAAGUCCUGGGCAAACUGGAACAAGUUGGUCAACUUAUCUGGGUGUAAAAUACAUGGUGUCAACUUGAGAGGACAGGUUACUGAGUAAAGGUGAGAAUGGUGAACGUGGAGCUGCCAUUGGUGGACUCAGUCUUUUGGAGAUAAUUGGGGUAAAAUCAACAGUUGCACUGAGGACACGUAUGUGAACUUUUUAAUCUCCAUUUUAUAGAUGGAGGCGUCUACAUGAGGAAGUAUGUCCCAAAGGCUGUGAUGAAAGGCUCUACUUAAUUGUCCAGUUUCUGCAUUUGGAAUUGAAACCACCUUGGCUAAGCUGAGGCAGGAUUCAGGCUGUCAGGCCUGCCUGGUGGCUUUGACACCCUGAAGGUCUGUGCAGGGGCAGGCAUUCUUCAUGGCUGAAACGUUCUGCCCUGCUAGCCAUUCUUCAUGGCUGAAAUGUUCUGCCCUGCUAGCCAGUUCCUGGUAGAGGCUUCCAGAAGCGGGCAGUCCUUUUUCUGUCUCACUCCGAGGACUGUCCUCUGACUUCUGUUUGCCACCUUUAUUCAGCUGGUUGUAGCUGCCUGGAAAGAUGCCAAGAGAAGGAGUCUGGGUCCACUGGAGCUAGCUGUGACUGAGCGUGGUGUUUGCUGCCAUGCAGGAACAGCAGCAGCGGGACACAGGCCAGUCCUGAACAAGUGUUCCUGGGGACACCAGGCACUGGUCAUCAUGCUAGCCCUGUUCUACCGCAGUGUGUGAAGCACGAGCCAUCCCAGGUCUGUAGGGCCUGAGGAGAUCUGAGGAGAGCAUUCAUCCAGGGUGACCCAGGAACCAGGCUUAAGGUGUCACAUGAGUGUCCCAAGUUCUCCAGCCUUCAGGAGUCACCCUUUCCUUGAACAUCCACUGAACAUCAGCUCCCAGACCUGCAGGAAAUCCAUUCAAGAGCCCAGUACAUGCUGGUGUGUUUCCAUAGAUCCAUCCUGUCGCUGCUGCAUUUUCCUCUGCAUGGCUCCAUUGUGCCAGGCCUCUUUGUGGUCACCUGCAGCCAUUUCUUCACCUCUUCUCCCAGUUGCCGUUCUUUCCCUGAGCUAUUUUGCUCUGAGCAGCCAUGGCUGGCUCCAGGACAGCACAGACCCCAAACUCUGGCCUGAUCUUGUUUCUGCCUCAGAAGCAUGUGGUGCUGUGGCCUCAGAUGCCAUCAAGGUGUCUUCUAGCUCAUCCCGGCAGGCCUGUUCUCAAACGUUCAGCUGGGAGAAUGUGACCAUUUUCUGGAGUUUGAUAAUCUUCCGUCUUUCUUGGUGAUCCACGGAUGGUCUCACAACCCAGCUGAGUACUUAUAUUCAAUCCCAGGAGAUUAUGAGAAGGUGUUGGUUUGUAGAGGAGAAAGAUGGGAGAUGAUGGGGAGGAAGAGAAGAUGUGGGGAAGCCAGAGAAGACAGAAAGAGGAAAACGUAUUCCAGCUUAGCCCAAUUUAACUCAAACUUGAAUAUGCAUCCAAAUCACCUAGAAGGCUUGUUAAAGCACAGAGUGCUGGACCCCACCUCAGAGUUUCUGAUUCAGAUUGCUGUGAGCAUUUAAUGAGAUAAACCAUGAAAAGCACAUGUCCAGCACCUACUAAGUGCUCUGUAAAAAGGGUCCCCUCAUGGGAAGAGCUGGGGGGCACUGGACCACCUGCACAAGAAUCCACUGAAGGACUCGAUAAAUAUGCAGACACCCCAGUACCCCUGAGAGUGUGGGCCAGGAAUCUACUUGAUUAACCAGCAGCAGUGUGACCAGUUGUCUACUUGUCUACGUUCCUUCCAAGACAUGGCCAGUAGAUGGCGGUGCAGUGUGCACUUUCAAUGCAGCUUCUGCAUUUCUGGAAAGAUCUCCCUGUGAAACUUCCUGUGAAUUCAAGUUAACAUCCACCAGGAGAGCUUGGCUGCUUAAGCUGCUCUCCCCUCCUGUCCCUUCGGAGUGACUUCUCUUUCUUUUUUUUUUUUUUUUUUUUUUUUUUUGCGGUACGCGGGCCUCUCACUGCUGUGGCCUCUCCCGUUGCGGAGCACAGGCACCGGACGCGCAGGCUCAGCGGCCAUGGCU